UACGGAGGGGGCUAGCGUUGUUCGGAAUUACUGGGCGUAAAGCGCACGUAGGCGGCUUUGUAAGUUAGAGGUGAAAGCCCAGGGCUUAACCCUGGAAUUGCCUUUAAGACUGCAUCGCUAGAAUCGUGGAGAGGUGAGUGGAAUUCCGAGUGUAGAGGUGAAAUUCGUAGAUAUUCGGAAGAACACCAGUGGCGAAGGCGACUUACUGGUCCAUGACUGACGCUGAGGCUCGAAAGCGUGGGGAGCAAACAGG
rnacentral:rRNA from 1 species